GACGAACGCUGGCGGCGUGCCUAAUACAUGCAAGUCGAGCGGAUUUGUCCCUUCGGGGAUAAGUUAGCGGCGGACGGGUGAGUAACACGUAGGUAACCUGCCUAUAAGACCGGGAUAACUAUCGGAAACGAUAGCUAAGACCGGAUAUCUGGUUUUCUCGCAUGAGAGAAUCAUGAAACACGGAGCAAUCUGUGGCUUAUAGAUGGGCCUGCGGCGCAUUAGCUAGUUGGUAGGGUAACGGCCUACCAAGGCGACGAUGCGUAGCCGACCUGAGAGGGUGAACGGCCAAACUGGGACUGAGACACGGCCCAGACUCCUACGGGAGGCAGCAGUAGGGAAUCUUCCGCAAUGGACGCAAGUCUGACGGAGCAACGCCGCGUGAGUGAUGAAGGUUUUCGGAUCGUAAAGCUCUGUUGCCCUAGACGAACAGCAAGAGGAGUAACUGCCUUUUGUGUGACGGUAUAGGAGAAGAAAGCCCCGGCUAACUACGUGCCAGCAGCCGCAGUAA
rnacentral:rRNA from 1 species